rnacentral:rRNA from 1 species
AGUGAACGCUGGCGGUAGGCCUAACACAUGCAAGUCGAACGGCAGCACAGUAAGAGCUUGCUUCUACGGGUGGCGAGGGGCGGACGGGUGAGGAAUACAUCGGAAUCUACUUUUUCGUGGGGGAUAACGUAGGGAAACUUACGCUACUACCGCAUACGAUCUACGGGUGAAAGCAGGGGAUCUUCGGACCUUGCGCGAUUGAAUGAGCCGAUGUCGGAUUAGCUUGUUGGCGGGGUAAAGGCCCACCAAGGCGACGAUCCGUAGCUGGUCUGAGAGGAUGAUCGGCCACACUGGAACUGAGACACGGUCCAGACUCCUACGGGAGGCAGCAGUGGGGAAUAUUGGGCAAUGGGCGCAAGCCUGAUCCAGCCAUACCGCGUGGGUGAAGAAGGCCUUCGGAUUGUAAAGCCCUGUUAUUGGGAAAGAAAAGCAGCAGGUGAAUACCCCGAUGUUCUGACGGUACCCAAAGAGUAAGCACCGGCUAACUUCGUG